UACGGGGGGGGGCAAGCGUUUGUUCGGAAUUACUGGGCGUAAAGGGCGCGUAGGCGGCCUUCUAAGUCGGACGUGAAAUCCCUCGGCUCAACCGAGGAACUGCGUCCGAUACUGAAAGGCUUGAAUCCGGGAGAGGGAUGUGGAAUUCCAGGUGUAGCGGUGAAAUGCGUAGAUAUCUGGAGGAACACCGGUGGCGAAGGCGGCAUCCUGGACCGGCAUUGACGCUGAGGCGCGAAAGCCAGGGGAGCAAACGGG
rnacentral:rRNA from 1 species